UACGUAGGGUGCAAGCGUUGUCCGGAAUUAUUGGGCGUAAAGGGCUCGUAGGCGGUUCGUCACGUCGGGAGUGAAAACUCGGAGCUUAACUCCGAGCCUGCUUCCGAUACGGGCAGACUAGAGGUAGGUAGGGGGAGAUCGGAAUUCCUGGUGUAGCGGUGAAAUGCGCAGAUAUCAGGAGGAACACCGGUGGCGAAGGCGGAUCUCUGGGCCUUACCUGACGCUGAGGCGCGAAAGCUAGGGGAGCAAACAGG
rnacentral:rRNA from 1 species